CAUUGAACGCUGGCGGCGUGCCUAACACAUGCAAGUCGAGCGAGAAAGGGUCCUUCGGGACCUGAGUAGAGCGGCGCACGGGUGAGUAACGCGUAGGUGAUCUACCCUUUGGAUCGGGAUAACAGUUGGAAACGGCUGCUAAUACCGGAUAUGCUCCAUAUUUAGCUUUAUGGGGGAAAGGUGGCCUCUGCAUGCAAGCUACCACCAAAGGAUGAACCUGCGUCUCAUUAGCUUGUUGGUGGGGUAAUGGCCUACCAAGGCGACGAUGAGUAGCUGGUCUGAGAGGAUGAUCAGCCACACUGGGACUGGAACACGGCCCAGACUCCUACGGGAGGCAGCAGUGGGGAAUAUUGCGCAAUGGGCGAAAGCCUGACGCAGCGACGCCGCGUGAGGGAAGAAGGCUCUCGGGUCGUAAACCUCUGUCAGAAGGGAAGAAACCCUUGAGGUCGAAUAGGCUUCUUGGCUGACGGUACCUUCAGAGGAAGCACCGGCUAAUUCCGUGCCAGCAGCCGCGGUAAUACGGAAGGUGCAAGCGUUAAUCGGAAUCACUGGGCGUAAAGCGCGCGUAGGCGGCGCGGUCAGUCAGAUGUGAAAGCCCUCGGCUCAACCGGGGAAUUGCAUUUGAAACUGCCGUGCUUGAGUACUGGAGAGGCAGGCGGAAUUCCAGGUGUAGGAGUGAAAUCCGUAGAUAUCUGGAGGAACACCAGUGGCGAAGGCGGCCUGCUGGACAGAUACUGACGCUGAGGUGCG
rnacentral:rRNA from 2 species